UACGAAGGGGGCUAGCGUUGCUCGGAAUCACUGGGCGUAAAGGGUGCGUAGGCGGCGCGGUAAGUCGGGUGUGAAAUCUCGGAGCUUAACUCCGAAACUGCAUUCGAUACUGCCGUGCUUGAGGACUGGAGAGGAGACUGGAAUUUACGGUGUAGCGGUGAAAUGCGUAGAUAUCGUAAGGAAGACCAGUGGCGAAGGCGGGGUCUCUGGACAGUUCCCUGACGCUGAGGCACGAAGGCCAGGGGAGCAAACGGG
rnacentral:rRNA from 1 species